GUAGGUGGCAAGCGUUGUCCGGAAUUAUUGGGCGUAAAGCGCGCGCAGCCGGUCCUUUAAGUCUGAUGUGAAAGCCCACGGCUCAACCGUGGAGGGUCAUUGGAAACUGGGGGACUUGAGUACAGAAGAGGAAAGCGGAAUUCCAAGUGUAGCGGUGAAAUGCGUAGAGAUUUGGAGGAACACCAGUGGCGAAGGCGGCUUUCUGGUCUGUAACUGACGCUGAGGCGCGAAAGCGUGGGGAGCAAACAGGGAUUAGAUACCCUGGUAGUCCACGCCGUAAACGAUGAGUGCUAAGUGUUAGGGGGUUUCCCGCCCCUUAGUGCUGCAGCUAACGCAUUAAGCACUCCGCCUGGGGAGUACGGCCGCAAGGCUG
rnacentral:rRNA from 1 species